UAGGGAAUAUUGCGCAAUGGACGAAAGUCUGACGCAGCGACGCCGCGUGGGGGAUGGAGGCCUUCGGGUCGUAAACCUCUGUCAGGAGGAAAGAAAGUGACGCAUGCCAAUCAGUGCGUCAUUGACGGUACCUCCAAAGGAAGCGCCGGCUAACUCCGUGCCAGCAGCCGCGGUAAUACGGAGGGCGCGAGCGUUAAUCGGAAUUACUGGGCGUAAAGGGCGCGUAGGCGGUAUUGCAAGUCAGGGGUGAAAUUCCGCGGCUCAACUGCGGAACUGCCCAUGAAACUGCAGAACUAGAAUCCGGGAGAGGGCGGCGGAAUUCCAGGUGUAGGAGUGAAAUCCGUAGAUAUCUGGAGGAACACCGGCGGCGAAGGCGGCCGCCUGGCCCGGAAUUGACGCUGAGGCGCGAAAGCGUGGGGAGCAAACAGG
rnacentral:rRNA from 1 species